UCACCGGGGACUCGCCCGGGGGUCAGAGGCUGAGCGGGGCUGGGAUGCCCUCUCCAAGCUCAGAGCCACCCAACAGCUGCCACUGAGGAGAGAGAGCGAGGUCCUGGGAGGACAAAGAGAGUCUCCGCAGCCGCCACAGCUGCCGCCGGAACUCUGGGCAAAUCCCAGUGGACAGAGUCCAGUUCUCCCACUCCGGAUUCCGGAGAGUUGCUGCAGACAAUGAGGCCCGCAGCGACAGCUCUCGGGACAAGUUCCUCGCCUCCCGCUGAGUCUCCGGCGCCCACCCGGGAGCAGAAAGGCUGGCGUCUAGCUGCGGUGGUGAGCUGCGGGACAGGCACCCGCGGACCCCACGAUCGCCGCGGGAACUCAGCCGAGUCCUCCUCUUCCGCCUCUCUUCCUCGGACCGCCCAACUCCUCGCGGCACUUUAUAACUUUCUUCCCUGCCCCAACCUGGCGCCGCGCCGCGCGGGGCGAGCCUCUGCAGCCCGGGAUGCUAAGCACCCGGGGGAGCGGCAGGCCGCCGGGCACCUCAGGCCUGGGGGGUGGGAGUGGGCGCUGACCGGUCUGCUCGUGCGAGCCCGAGGGCGGGGCGCCGGGAGGAAGCCCGACGAGCCACACAAGCACACUUGAGGGUUCGUGCUGAGCAGCGGAUGACUAACGCCUGCCAGAUUUCGGAAGGGAGAGAGGAGUUCUGAAAAACAAACGUCCUCUAGAUACUAAACAUAUCCAACUCUCCCGCAAGCCUGGCCCGGCCUGUUUUCCCCAGCUGUGCUGGAACGGCCCUCCGCGUGGUUUAGAGACUCAGGACCAGCUGUCUCCUGGAUAGUGACGGCCUUAUGCCUCAUCCCUCCGCACCUUUCAUCCAUCACACACCGACCUAGUGACGCAGGAUUUAAGGUUUAAGAAAGGGGACUUCCUCUUUUCUUUCUCUUUUUUUUUCUAUUUGAUAAUUUUUCCAUUUUUCAUUAAUUCUGAGAGUUUCAUGCGA